rnacentral:lncRNA from 1 species
GUGCAUAUACAUAAACAUAACAUUGAUCCCUCAGUGGGAUCUCAUCAAUGCCCCCAAAUGGGAUGACAUAACAUAUGUUGAGUUGGUUUACAUAAACAUCAUAAAAUCUCUAAGAUCAUGUAAUAAAAGGGAUAACAACCAUCUAUGGUCAAGCACACUUCUAACAUCCAUAAACAUCCUUACAUAACUAUACUGUACUUUUACAUUACAAUUUGAUCAUGUCCAUAACUAGCUAUUACAUAAGCAUGACUUCUUUACUCUAUCCGGACUCCCGCACUAUACCGUACCUGCAAGCCUGGGGGUAAAGGGAGAGGGGUGAGCUAAAAGCCCAGUGAGUAGAACUAUAAAACAUAUUAACACUAUGCUCCAAUGAAAUGCAUCAUAACACAGAC